AGAUUGAACGCUGGCGGCAUGCCUUACACAUGCAAGUCGAACGGCAGCACGGGGGCAACCCUGGUGGCGAGUGGCGAACGGGUGAGUAAUGCAUCGGAACGUGCCCAGUAGUGGGGGAUAACUAGUCGAAAGAUUAGCUAAUACCGCAUACGACCUAAGGGUGAAAGCGGGGGAUUCGCAAGAACCUCGCGCUAUCGGAGCGGCCGAUGUCUGAUUAGCUAGUUGGCGGGGUAAAAGCCCACCAAGGCUUCGAUCAGUAGCUGGUCUGAGAGGACGACCAGCCACACUGGGACUGAGACACGGCCCAGACUCCUACGGGAGGCAGCAGUGGGGAAUUUUGGACAAUGGGCGCAAGCCUGAUCCAGCCAUGCCGCGUGCGGGAAGAAGGCCGUUCGGUGUAAACCGCUUUGGCAGGAACGAAACGGCGCGAGCGAAUAUCUCGCGUUAAGUGACGGUACCUGCAGAAUAAGACACCGGACUAACUACGUGCCAGCAGCCGA
rnacentral:rRNA from 1 species